UACAUGGGGUGCAAACGUUGCUCGGAAUUAUUGGGCGUAAAGCGCACGUAGGCGGCUUUUUAAGUCAGGGGUGAAAUCCUGGAGCUCAACUCCAGAACUGCCUUUGAUACUGAGAAGCUUGAGUCCGGGAGAGGUGAGUGGAACUGCGAGUGUAGAGGUGAAAUUCGUAGAUAUUCGCAAGAACACCAGUGGCGAAGGCGGCUCACUGGCCCGGUACUGACGCUGAGGUGCGAAAGCGUGGGGAGCAAACAGG
rnacentral:rRNA from 1 species